GACGAACGCUGGCGGCGUGCCUAACACAUGCAAGUCGAACGGAACUGCUUCGAAGGGUUUCUUCGGAAUGACAUUGAUUCAGUUUAGUGGCGGACGGGUGAGUAACGCGUGAGUAACCUGCCUUCAAGAGGGGGAUAACAUUCUGAAAAGAAUGCUAAUACCGCAUGACAUAUGAUUGUCGCAUGGCAGACAUAUCAAAGAUUUAUCGCUUGAAGAUGGACUCGCGUCCGAUUAGUUAGUUGGUGAGGUAACGGGCCCACCAAGACCGCGAUCGGUAGCCGGACUGAGAGGUUGAACGGCCACAUUGGGACUGAGAUACGGCCCAGACUCCUACGGGAGGCAGCAGUGGGGAAUAUUGCACAAUGGNGGAAACCCUGAUGCAGCGACGCCGCGU
rnacentral:rRNA from 1 species